CCUACGGGGAGCAGCAGUGAGGAAUAUUGGUCAAUGGACGAGAGUCUGAACCAGCCAAGUAGCGUGAAGGAUGACUGCCCUAUGGGUUGUAAACUUCUUUUAUAUGGGAAUAAAACGUUCCACGUGUGGGAUUUUGUAUGUACAAUUAGAUUCAGGAACGCCUAACUACGUGCCAGCAGCCGCGGUAAUACGGAGGAUCCGAGCGUUAUCCGGAUUUAUUGGGUUUAAAGGGAGCGUAGGUGGAUUGGUAAGUCAGUUGUGAAAGUUUGCGGCUCAACCGUAAGAGUGCAGUGGAAACUGGCAGUCUUGAGUACAGGAGAGGUAGGCGGAAUUCGUAGUGUAGCGGUGAAAUGCGUAGAUAUCACGAAGAACUCCGAUGGCGAAGGCAGCUUACUGGACAGCAACUGACGCUGAGGCUCGAAAGCGUGGGUAGCAAACAGGAUUAGAUACCCGGGUAGUC
rnacentral:rRNA from 1 species